GACAGAGGAGCCAAGCGUUGUCCGGAUUGACUGGGCGUAAAGCGUGCGCAGGCGGUUUUGUAAGUCUGUCGUGAAAUCCCCGGGCUCAACCUGGGAAUUGCGAUGGAGACUGCAAGGCUAGAAUCUGGCAGAGGGGGGUAGAAUUCCACGUGUAGCAGUGAAAUGCGUAGAGAUGCGGAGGAACACCGAUGGCGAAGGCAGCCCCCUGGGCCAAUACUGACGCUCAGGCACGAAAGCGUGGGGAGCAAACAGG
rnacentral:rRNA from 1 species